rnacentral:piRNA from 1 species
UCCAGGUUCCAGGUCACAGGCUCAUGCAGU